CGGACGGCGGCCGCUCCCCCUGCGCGCGCCGCCCGCCGGCCGCCAUGCCGCCCUCGACGGCGCUGCCGCUGCUGCUGCUGCUGCUGGCGGCCGGGGCCAGCGCCAAGGCACAGGAGACACAAGACUACUACGACGAAGAUUACUAUGGCGAGGGCUACGACUAUUAUUACAACGGCAACGGCAACGGCGCCACCGACCCGGCCACCGGUACGCCGGACGAUAGUGUAACACCGCCGGCUGACCCGGCCGGCGGCCAGGGCCGGACUUCUUACAGCUACAACUACGAGAGCAGCAGGACCACCAGCGGCGACACCGCCGCAGCCGGCGCACGGGAUGACAGACUUCGUCAGGAGCAGGAGAGACGGCGCCAGGAGGCCGAGGCAAGAGCUCGUGCAGAGGCAGAGGCCAGAGCUCGCGCUGAGGCAGAGGCAAGAGCUCGUGCAGAGGCGGAGGCUAGAGCUCGUGCAGAGGCCGAGGCCAGGGCCCGUGAAGAAGCCGACGCCAGGGCCCGUGAAGAAGCUGAGGCAAGAGCCCGUGCGGAGGCCGAAGAACGAGCAAGGCAAGAGCAGGCGGCGGAAGAGGCAAGGCGACAGGCGGAGGAGGCAAGGCGACGAGAGGCGGAGGAGGCCAGGCGGCGAGAGGCGGAGGCGCGCGAGCAGGCGGAGCGGCAGCGUCUCGGUUUCGGCCGGGCGAGCGAGGGCGGCAGCGGGCAGGCCGGCCAGUUCCCAGGCGGCUGCUCAUUCGACGGCCAGUUUUACGCCGACGGCGCCGAGUUCUCCCUGGACGAGUGCGGCGAGUGCCGCUGCGAGAACGGCCGGCUCAACUGCGACUCGGGCCGGUGCGGCGGCGACCGGUGCGACGGCGUUCAGUGCGAGGAGAUCGAGUGCGACACGCAGCAGUACAUUCCGCUGGGCGAGUGCUGCCCGAUCUGUGCCGUGACGGACCUGGGCACCGGCCAGGGUCCUGGCACCGCUGCACGGGGACCGGGACCCCAGCCACCGGAUCUGCAGGGUGUCACCGGCGACCCCGGCCCCACCGGUCCGCCGGGCCAGCCGGGCACGCCGGGUACACCGGGCACCCCCGGCCAGCCGGGAGGGCCGGGACCCACGGCCGACCCGUCCAACUACAUUGCUCAGCUACAGGCGUCACUGGGAGGAGACAAGGGACCGGCCCAGCCGCUCUACCUACAGGCGCAGACCGGACCGGCCGGGGCCCGCGGCGCGCCUGGCCCUCCCGGCCCGUCGGGACCGCAGGGUUUCCAAGGAGUGCGAGGAGAGCCAGGUGAUCCAGGACCUCCGGGCCCCGUCGGCAGCCCAGGACCCAGAGGCGUGCCCGGCAUCCCCGGAAAAGAUGGCGAGAACGGCGAGGACGGUUCUCCGGGCCCUGCGGGCGCCCAGGGCCCCACCGGGCCCCGCGGCCUCCCCGGGAUGCCCGGAAUGCCGGGACCCAAGGGCCACCGCGGCUUCCCCGGCACGGACGGCGCCAAGGGCGAGAUCGGUCUGCCCGGGGAGAAGGGCGGCAUCGGACCGGCCGGCCGGCCAGGAGAGCCAGGACCACUGGGUCCCGCUGGUCCCCGCGGGGAGCGAGGCAGGGACGGACCACCCGGUCCGGCCGGUCUCCGCGGCAUUGACGGCAUCGCUGGACCGCCUGGUCCACCGGGCGCGGCCGGCAAGUCGGGACCUCCCGGCUUCCCCGGUAGUCCUGGAGCGAAGGGUGACCGAGGCGCUGAGGGACCCAAGGGCAGCGUGGGACUCCAGGGACCUCGCGGUGAGGCCGGCGCGCCCGGUCUGCCCGGCGAACAGGGCGCCCCCGGCAGGCCCGGAAAGGACGGAGCCGAUGGCGAAAAGGGCAGCUUCGGAGCCCCCGGACCGAUGGGCCCGCCAGGCUUCGCCGGCCCUCGGGGCCCGCCGGGUAACUCCGGCAGUCCCGGCCUGCCCGGACAGAAGGGAGAACAGGGUCUCACCGGCUCCCGCGGCCUGAAGGGCUCUGUGGGAUCCAAGGGCGACUCCGGAGAGAUGGGAGCCCGCGGCGCGCCGGGCCCGCCCGGAUCGGACGGCCGACGCGGCCGGCGGGGUCUGCGGGGCCCUCCGGGUCUGCUGGGCCCUCAGGGCGAGCGGGGCCCGCCCGGCUCGCGCGGCCUGCCCGGUGCCGAUGGCCCGCCCGGUCUGAAGGGUUCCGUGGGCGACCGUGGCCAGCCAGGCGCCAUGGGACAGAAGGGCUCGACUGGAGACACCGGCCGACCGGGACCGCCCGGACUGGUGGGCGAGCGAGGUCUGCAGGGCCGCACUGGCAGCCCCGGCCGUCCGGGCCGCACGGGAGACCGUGGUCUGCCCGGAGCUGACGGCAAGAACGGAGAGAUGGGCGCCACCGGAGCGCCGGGUCUUCCCGGACCCGUGGGACCCAUCGGAGCUCAGGGUCGACCGGGAGAAUCAGGCAAGGACGGCAAGCCUGGUGAGGCCGGUCCUCCAGGACCACGCGGUGACGCCGGCCGUGACGGACCAAUGGGACCAAUUGGACCACCUGGACCUCCGGGGUCGGCCGGUGCCCGCGGUCCCGUCGGACAGACGGGCGCCCGCGGCUUCCAGGGACCUCCUGGAACUCCGGGUAGCCCUGGCAACCCUGGCAAGGACGGCGAGACUGGUCUGCAGGGCCCCACCGGACCGCCCGGAGAGAGCGGUCCCCGCGGCGCCCGCGGCUUCCGAGGUGAACGCGGCGCCAUGGGUCCUCCCGGAGAGGCGGGCCAGCGCGGCGAGCAGGGCGCCAUCGGUCCCGAUGGACCGCCCGGCCCCAUCGGACCCACCGGAGAAAAGGGCCACCGAGGAGCGCCCGGACUUGUGGGUCUGCCCGGCAGGCGCGGUCUGCAAGGCCAAGCUGGCCCCAAGGGCGAGAUCGGCUCUCAGGGCAAGAUAGGACCGGAGGGCCCCGCCGGCCGGCCGGGCCCGCAGGGUCUCCAGGGAGAGAUGGGUCCCAUGGGCCCGCCGGGCCAGUCCGGAGAGCGUGGAGAACCGGGCUCCCCCGGACCCCCGGGAGAGAUCGGCAAACCGGGUCUGCUGGGCGCGCGCGGUCCGCCCGGCCCGCAGGGCCUGCGUGGCUUCCCCGGUCAGCAGGGCAUCACUGGAUCGACCGGCCCAAAGGGACAGCAGGGCCUGCCAGGACAGAAGGGAGCCCAGGGAAACCCGGGAACCGAAGGAAAGCCUGGUCCGGUGGGCGCUCCGGGCCCUUUGGGUCUCACGGGAGCCAAGGGCUCUCGCGGAGACCCGGGACCGGUGGGCCCCUCCGGCUCGGCGGGGCCCCCUGGCCGGCCGGGCGAGCAGGGCCCGCAGGGCCUCCAGGGCGCCACCGGCCAGCCGGGUCUGGCCGGCCUGCCGGGCAUCAAGGGCGCGCAGGGCGACAUCGGCCGGCCGGGCAUGCCGGGCGCCGCCGGAAACCCGGGCAGCCCCGGACCGGAGGGCGUCAAGGGCAGCUCUGGCUCUCCGGGCCUGCCAGGCCUGAUCGGACCCGUCGGCCCUCCGGGAGCCGCCGGCGAGCGCGGCCUUCCUGGUCUCCCCGGGGGCCCGGGACCCAAGGGACCCCAGGGACAGCGCGGAUCACCGGGAGAGCCGGGAGAGGUGGGAUCUCGCGGCCUGGAAGGCCCUCAGGGCCAGCCGGGUCUGCGGGGCCCGCCCGGAAACCCGGGUCCGGCCGGAGAGCAGGGCCCCAUCGGUCCCGAGGGCAAGGUCGGCGCGCCGGGCAUCAGCGGCCGUCCUGGCGACAAGGGCCCGCCGGGAGACGCUGGGCAGCCGGGCAUCGCUGGACCGCCCGGCCUGCAGGGCGCCCCGGGUCCGGUCGGCCCGCCGGGACCCACCGGCGAGCGGGGCGAGCGCGGCGAGCCCGGUAUCCAGGGAGUGGAAGGCCCCACCGGCGAGCGCGGCAAACAGGGCCCGCCCGGCCUGCAGGGGCCCCGCGGAGAGCGAGGCCCCGAGGGCGGAAAGGGAGACAAGGGCCACCGCGGUCUGCUCGGUCUGCAGGGACUGCCAGGCCCGGGCGGUCCUCCUGGAGAGAAGGGUCCGCCGGGUACCCCGGGUCGGCCGGGCAACCCCGGCGAGCAGGGCAUGAAGGGCCCGCCCGGCAUGGACGGCGUGGCCGGUCCACAGGGCAUCGCCGGCCCGCCGGGCCCGCGCGGCCCCGCCGGUGACUCGGGCCGGCCCGGCCAGCCGGGAGCGCCCGGACCCGCCGGCCCGCCCGGUCCCCCCGGAGAGUCCGUCGGAUUCGACGUGGCCGCUCUGCAGGCGUUCAUGCAGCCGUCAUCGAAGGGUCCGGACCCGCUCAACAGCGACGAGCCGGCGCGACUCGGCAAGGAUCUGACCGACGACGAGCGUAAGGAGAUCGUCCUGAUGGCCUACAACCAGCUGCAGGACAAGUUCAAGACGCUGAUGAAGCCAGACGGCAGCGCCGACGCUCCUGCCAAGACGUGCCGCGACCUGGCCGCCGCCUACCCGGACAAGGAGAACGGCGACUACUGGAUCGAUCCGAACGGCAGCGACAAGAAGGACGCCAUCUUUGUCUACUGCGACAUCGGCCGGCGGAUGACGUGCAUCAACCCGAACCCGCCGGCCACGGGAGAGAUGGCCGCCUCCAAACGCAGCCGCGAGCACCAGUGGUUCUCCGAGGACAUCGACGGAGGAUUCGAGUUCUCGUAUAAGGCGGACCGGAACCAGAUCGGUUUCCUGCAGCUGUUGUCGACACACGCCGAGCAGAACAUCACCUAUCACUGCCUGAACCACGUGGCCGUGUACAACGCCCAGAGGCAGACGUACCGCGGCAGUCUGCGCCUCAUGAGCUGGAACGACCAGGAGAUCUACGCGCGAGGCCGUAACCGAUACAACGUCAUCGACGACGGCUGUCAGUCCUCGCCGUCGUACUGGGGCCAGACGGCCAUCCAGGUGGAGACUAAGCGCACUCAGCGCCUGCCUCUGACCGACAUCGGCCUGCGCUCGAUCGGCCGGCCCGACCAGAAGUUCAAGAUAGAGCUGGGCCCGGCCUGCUUCUAUUAGAGGCCGGCGAGAUGGGAACCAACACUGCCACACGGACGAGAGAGGAAGUCACGUGUCCGGCCUCCUCCGUCCCAGGAGAUAGCGGAAGCAGCAGCAGCAGCAGCGGGAGAGGAGGUCGAGGAGGAGAAGGAGGAACUAAUAGAAAUUAUAAAAAUAAACAAAAGAUAAAUGGAGAAGCAGGAUAUUUAGAAGUCAGGAGAAAAGACCACAGCGGAGGAGCAGGAGUCUGAGAUCAGAGGACUCUGUUAGAACAGAGAGCCGCAGUGCGGCGCGGAGGAGAGACCGACCCGGGCAGGGAGGUGACCAGUGACGAUUUGUGAUGUGAUGACGUGCCGGAGGACAGGAGGACAGGGAGGGGGAGCGCGGUGUGUCGGUCGGGCCGUCCGGCGGCUGACCGAUCCGGCCCCCACCGCCUCCAUGUGAUGGCCUCGAGAGAACGAGAGACAGUCGGCCGAGGCAUCUAGGCUCUAAGUAUUUUUAUAUGUCUGUGACGUAGAUAGUCCUAGGUUAAGGAGCAGUACUUGUGCAAUAAUAUUAUUCUUUGUGCUUGAGCUUGCGUGAUUUGCUUAUAUGUGGUGUACGCGUACUUUAAGUCCCCUGUGAUGUGUUCUGCAGCCCACCUGACGAUCGUAAUUAAGUAAUUAAGGAAUAUACAUGCGAUGUUUGC
rnacentral:misc_RNA from 1 species